CGCAUCACUAAAAGGGUGCUGCGCAGUUCUCCCUCUCUGCACAGCACCUCUCCUGCGAAGGAGAGGCGCUGCACAGAUAGGGAGAGCUGCGCAGCACCCCUUA